GCCAGAUUCAAGGACUUUGAAAUUUGGAUAAUUAUUUUAUUUCUAUGACAACAAAGGAUGAGAACUUAAUUAAUCAUAGUUGUAUCUAUAGGCGUGAGGUUUUGUUUUGUGAUUUAAGAGUAUCAGUUCAGUUACCAAAUGUAAUCUAUAAGGAGUCUAGAAUAUGUUAGUCAAAUUCAUUUGAGCUAGUUUUUCAAUUUGUGUCAUUAAAUGUGGUAUUUAGCUAUUAGUUUAUGUUUAGUUAUAGGUCUUAACUUAUCAAUUUAAGUUAUGAGCUGGGAGUUCUAAGAGUAUAUAAGGCCA
rnacentral:misc_RNA from 1 species